rnacentral:pre_miRNA from 1 species
AAAGUGCUCCCUCCGUCCCGAAAUUCUUGUCUUAGAUUUGUCUAGAUAUGGAUGUAUCCAGUCACAUUUUAGUAUUAGAUACAUCCUUAUCUAGACAAAUCUAAGACAAGAAUUUUGGGACGGAGGGAGUAGUUG